rnacentral:lncRNA from 14 species
AGAGGAGCCAACGUACUGCCGUUUUUUUUUUUUCUUUCCGCUGCAUUACAAAAUAAGUUUGUUUUAAGUGGUCUCUCCAUAUCUUACUGUCAAGUUGCCUGUUGGUAACACUGGUCGAUUAGGCUGAGCGUUACCGGAGGACACAUUUUGGUCCCUUUGUUUUGAGCCGCUCCGAGUGGUUGUGAUUUGUCUAUGAUCGCAAACCCACUGCUUUGCAAUGUGUUUAAGCAGACUUUCCAGCCAGGUCAGAUCCUGGUUCUGAAUGCAACCGGUUCUGAAUGAACAUUUCGGUUUUACCCUAUUUUAUUCCCCGAGUCGCAGCUUCGCAGAAACUGGGAUCCCCGAGAGCAAAUACACAAGACAACGUCUCUCUCAGAAGAUAUCCCCGUAGCCAGCCCGGGCUUCCCUUCCGAUGGCCAACGCGGUAGAUACGGCGAUCAUUGUCGGGCUCAUGAAUUUCAUGAGGAUUUCAGAAAGUUGAUGAAGUUCCUUUUUAGAUUGCUAAUAAACGUUUGAGUUUCACCUUUAAAGCCUCGGGCUUCCUUCCUUAACCCAGCAAUUCAAAAAAGUAUUUGAUAGGUGGCUAGUUUCUCCGGGCGUGUUUUCGGCCAGUGUCUAUUGUGCUUUCUCUUUAAGAUGAAAGACGCCGAAACUUAAAAUGACUGCAUUUUAGAAGAUAAAGCUAGUAUUUUAGCCAAAGAUUAAAAUACCAGGGUCUGGAGAGAUGGCUCAGCGGUUAAGAGCACUGACUGCUCUUCCAGAGGUCUUGAGUUCACUUCUCAGCAACCACAUGGUGGCUCACAACCAUCUGUAAUGGG